UUUAAAGUCUAAUCUGCCCAAUGAGAAAUUAAAUGGCCGCAGUAAUUUGACUGUGCAAAGGUAGCAUAAUAAUUAGUUUUUUAAUUGAAAGCUGGAAUGAACGAUUGGACGAGAAAAUAACUGUCUCUAUUUAAUUUAUUUAGAAUUUUAUUUUUAAGUAAGAAAGCUUAAUUGAAUUUAAAAGACGAGAAGACCCUAUAGAGUUUUAUAUUUGUAUAAUAGGGAAUUUUGUUGUAAGUUUAAAUUUCUAAUUAUAUAAGUAUUUUAUUGGGGUGAUAGAAAAAUUAGAUUAACUUUUUUUAGAAGUAUUUCAUUGAUUUAUGUUUGUAUGAUCCAUUUUUAAUGAUUAUAAGAUUAAAUUACCUUAGGGAUAACAGCGUAAUUUUUUUUGAGAGUUCAUAUCGAAAAAAGAGUUUGCGACCUCGAUGUUGGAUUAAAAUAAACUUCUGGAGCAGAAGCUAGAAAGUUAGGUCUGUUCGACCUUUAAAAUUUUACAUGAUCUGAGUUUAAACCGGUGUGAGCCAGGUUGGUUUCUAUCUUUAAUUAAUUAAUAUAUCUUAGUACGAAAGGACUUGAUAUGUAUAAUAAUUGUUAUAAAUUGAAUUUUAUUA
rnacentral:rRNA from 1 species